AUUUAUAUAGUUUAAAAAAAACAAUGCAUUUUCAAUGCAUAGAUAAAAAAUUUUGUAAAUG
rnacentral:tRNA from 1 species